rnacentral:rRNA from 1 species
GACGAACGCUGGCGGCGUGCUUAACACAUGCAAGUCGAACGGAAAGCCCCUUUCGGGGGGACUCGAGUGGCGAACGGGUGAGUAACACGUGGGUGAUCUGCCCUGCACUUUGGGAUAAGCCUGGGCAACUGGGUCUAAUACCGGAUAGGACUACGCGAUGCAUGUCGUGUGGUGGAAAGCUUUUGCGGUGUGGGAUGGGCCCGCGGCCUAUCAGCUUGUUGGUGGGGUGAUGGCCUACCAAGGCGACGACGGGUAGCCGGCCUGAGAGGGUGUCCGGCCACACUGGGACUGAGAUACGGCCCAGACUCCUACGGGAGGCAGCAGUGGGGAAUAUUGCACAAUGGGCGCAAGCCUGAUGCAGCGACGCCGCGUGAGGGAUGACGGCCUUCGGGUUGUAAACCUUUUUCACUAGGGACGAAGCGCAAGUGACGGUACCUAGAGAAGAAGCACCGGCCAACUACGUGCCAGCAGCCGCCGUAAUAC